GUGAGGAAUAUUGGUCAAUGGGCGAAAGCCUGAUGUAGCAACGCCGCGUGAAGGAAGAAGGGUUUCGGCUCGUAAACUUCUAUCGAUGGGGAAGAAACAAAUGACGGUACCCAAAUAAGAAGCCCCGGCUAACUACGUGCCAGCAGCCGCGGUAAUACGUAGGGGGCAAGCGUUAUCCGGAAUUACUGGGUGUAAAGGGAGCGUAGGCGGCAUGGUAAGCCAGAUGUGAAAGCCCGAAGCUUAACUUCGAGGAUUGCAUUUGGAACUAUCAAGCUAGAGUACAGGAGAGGUAAGUGGAAUUCCUAGUGUAGCGGUGAAAUGCGUAGAUAUUAGGAAGAACACCAGUGGCGAAGGCGACUUACUGGACUGAAACUGACGCUGAGGCUCGAAAGCGUGGGGAGCGAACAGGAUUAGAUACCCUUGUAGUCC
rnacentral:rRNA from 1 species